GCGGCCGGGACGGGCUCUCCCGCACGGCGUGCUAUGGUGGAGGGAGGGUAGAGCCAUAGCAGGGGCGCACACGCGUGGGGCGGCCACACCGCCAGCAUCCAUCCUGAAGGAACUUCAGGAAGGGAGAAGCCGGGGAGUCGGCAAAGCAGAUGCACUGAUGCGCAACCCUGCAGUCUGAGGCUUACACCAAGCCUCUUCCUCUCGGGCCCAGGUCUGCGCGCGCAGGCUGCACCUGCCCGCGCACUCGGGCCGCCACGUGCUGAGGCCCCGCCCCACUCCCGUCCCCGCUCCCCCAACGCGCACCCGGCCCGGUGCGGCUCCUCUCCGCUAGGCUGCGCAGGGCACCGGGCGACCGAGGAGGGACCGCGUCGCCCCUCCCUCCCCCUCCUCGCCCCCACCUCUCGCUCUCCCCGGGCGGGCGGGGCCGCAGCCGCGCACCGUGGGCUCGCGCCCCGCCUUUGUCUCCCGCGCCCGCCGCCGGCUGCCGGAGCCGCUUUGUGCGGCGCGGCCGCGGCUCAGCAUGGACGUGACGGUGUCGCAGCUCGUUGAGCUGUUUCUGCAGAGCCCUCUGGUGACCUGGGUGAAAACUUUUGGAUCGUUUGGAAGCGGCCACCAGGACAACUUGACUCUGUACAUGGAUUUAGUGGACGGCAUCUUUUUGAAUCAAAUCAUGCUGCAAAUAGACCCCAGGCCCAGCAAUCAGCGCAUCAACAAGCAUGUCAACAAUGAUGUCAACCUGCGCAUCCAAAACCUGAGUAUCCUGGUGAGAAACAUCAAGACCUACUACCAGGAAGUUCUCCAGCAGCUGAUCGUAAUGAAUUUGCCCAAUGUCUUGAUGAUUGGCAAAGACCCGCUGUCUGGGAAGAGCAUGGAGGAGAUUAAGAAGGUCCUGCUGCUGGUGCUGGGCUGUGCCGUUCAGUGUGAGAGGAAGGAGGAGUUCAUUGAGAGAAUCAAACAGCUGGACAUCGAGACCCAGGCUGGCAUUGUGGCUCAUAUCCAGGAGGUGACCCACAACCAGGAGAAUGUGUUUGACCUGCAGUGGCUGGACUUGCCAGAUGUGGCCCCAGAGGAGCUGGAGGCCCUCUCCAGAAACAUGGUGUUCCACCUCCGCAGACUCAUUGACGAGCGUGACGAGUGUACCGAGCUGAUCGUGGACCUGACACAAGAGAGGGACUACCUCCAGACACAGCAGCCUCCCAGCCCCGGCAAGUUCUCCAGCCCAGACUCCACACCAAGCCCCACCAGCAGCCUGUCCAGUGAAGACAAGCAGCACCUAGCCGUGGAGCUGGCUGACACCAAGGCCAGGCUGCGGCGUGUCAGGCAGGAGCUGGAGGAGAAGACGGAGCAGCUUGCAGACACCAGGCACGAGGUGGAUCAGCUGGUCCUGGAGCUUCAGAAGGCCAAGCAAGAUAAUAUUCAGCUUGCAGCUGAUGCGCGGUCAGCCCGGGCCUAUCGGGAUGAGCUGGACUCGCUGAGGGAAAAGGCGAACCGUGUAGAGAGGCUGGAGAUGGAUCUGGUACGCUGCAAGGAGAAGCUGCACGACGUGGACUUCUACAAGGCUCGCAUGGAGGAGCUGAGGGAAGACAAUAUCAUCUUAAUCGAGACCAAAGCCAUGUUGGAGGAACAACUGACUGCCUCCCGGGCUCGCAGUGAUAAAGUCCACGAGCUGGAGAAAGAGAACCUACAGCUAAAAUCUAAACUCCAUGACUUGGAACUGGAUCGGGAUGCAGACAAGAAACAAAUUGAGAAGCUGCUGGAAGAAUACAUGGUUCUGGAGAUGGCUCAGAAGCAGAGCAUGAAAGAGUCGGCCCACCUUGGCUGGGAACUGGAGCAGCUGUCCAAGAACGCAGACUUGUCCGACGCCUCCAGGAAAUCCUUCGUCUUUGAGCUGAAUGAGUGCGCCUCCAGCCGCAUCCUGAAGCUGGAGAAGGAGAACCAAAGCCUACAGAGCACCAUCCAGGGUCUGCGGGACACGUCGCUGGCGCUGGAGGAGAGCAGCCUCAAGUAUGGGGAGCUGGAGAAGGAGAACCAGCAGCUUAGCAAGAAGAUUGAAAAGUUACAAACGCAGCUGGAGAGAGAAAAGCAGAGUAACCAAGACCUGGAGACGCUGAGUGAGGAGCUGAUCCGAGAGAAGGAACAGCUACAGAGUGGCAUGGAGGCCCUGAAGGCGGACAGGGCCAGGCAGAUAAAGGAUCUGGAACAGGAGAAGGGCCACCUCCACCAGGCUGUGUGGUCCCUGCGGGAGAGGCCGCAGGUCAACAGCACGAAGGAUGUGGAGAAGGAGAACAGAGCCCUCCACCAGGCUGUGACAGAGGCGGGCAGCAAGCUCAGCCAGCUGGAGUUGGAGAAGCAGCAGCUGCACAGAGACUUGGAGGAGGCCAAGGAGAAGGGAGAGCAGGCGGAGGCGCUGGAGAAGGAGCUGCACCGGCUGGAGAAGGAGAAUGAGCAGCUGACCAAGGAGGUGACCUCCCUGAAGGCAGCCACUGAGAAGGUCGAGGCCCUGGAGCAUCAGAGCCAGGGUCUGGAGCUGGAGAACCGCUCGCUGAGAAAGUCCCUGGACACCCUGCAGAACGUGUCUGUGCAGCUCGAGGGCCUGGAGAGGGACAAGCAGCAGCUGGGUCAGGAGAACCUAGAGCUGCGCAAGAUGGUGGAGGCCAUGCGCUUCACCAGCGCCAAGAUGGCGCAGAUUGAGACGGAGAACCGGCAGCUGGAGAGGGAGAAGGAGGAGCUGCGCAGGGACGUGGAGCUGCUCAAGACCUUGAGCAAGAAGUCGGAGCGGCUGGAGCUCAGCUACCAGAGCGUGAGCGCCGAGAACCUGCAGCUGCAGCACAGCUUGGAGAGCAGCACCCACAAGUCUCAGGCGCUGCAGAGGGAGCUGAGCCAGCUGGAGGCCGAGCGCCAGGCCCUGAGGCGAGACCUAGAGACUCUCCAGCUCACCCACAAGCAGCUGGAGGGGGCCGAGGAGGACAGGAAGGCCCUGGAGCAGGAGGUGGCCCAGCUGGAGAAGGACAAGAAACUGCUAGAGAAGGAGGCCAGACGCCUGUGGCAGCAGGUGGAGCUUAAGGACGCCAUCCUGGAUGACAGCGCUGCCAAGCUGUCGGCGGCCGAGAAGGAGAGCCGUGCGCUGGACAAGGAGCUGGCCCGCUGCCGGGACGUGGGCAGCAAGCUGAAGGAGCUGGAGAAGGACAACAGGGACCUCACCAAGCAAGUCACCAUGCACACGAGGACGCUGACCACCCUGAGAGAGGACCUGGUGCUGGAGAAGUUGAAGAGCCAGCAGCUAAGCAGCGAGCUGGACAAGCUGAGCCAGGAGCUGGAGAAGGUCGGCCUCAGCAAGGACCUGUUGCUGCAGGAGGAUGACGGUCACGGUGACGGAAAAGGCAAAACCGAAUCAGCCUUGAAAACAACACUGGCUAUGAAAGAAGAAAAGAUUGUGUUUUUGGAGGCACAGGUGGAAGAGAAAGAGAGCUUGAGUCGCCAACUCCAGAUUGAGCUGCAGAUGAUAAAGAAAGAACAUGAGCAGCUGAGGCAGACCCAAGAGGGUGGAGACAAGGCACAGAACGCACUGAAGCGCCCUCCGGGCAAGGUCACCAGUCACCAAGAGAAGGAGGCCUGGGAGCCCAGCCAUAAAGAGGCCACCAUGGAGCUACUCCGUGUGAAGGACCGGGCCAUCGAGCUGGAGCGCAGUAACGCAGCUCUUCAGGCCGAGAGGCAGCUGCUGAAGGAGCAACUACAGCACUUGGAGACUCAGAACGUGUCCUUCAGCAGCCAGAUCCUGACCCUACAGAAGCAGAGCGCCUUCCUGCAAGAGCACACCACCACGCUGCAGACCCAGACUGCGAAGCUGCAGGUGGAGAAUUCCACACUGAGUUCCCAGAACGCAGCGCUCAGUGCACAGUACACGGUGUUGCAGAGCCAGCAGGCUGCCAAGGAGGCCGAGCACGAGGGUCUGCAGCAGCAGCAGGAGCAGCUGGCAGCCGUCUAUGAAGCCCUGCUGCAGGACCACAAGCACCUGGGCACCCUGUACGAGUGCCAGUCCUCAGAGUAUGAGGCCCUCAUCCGCCAGCACAGCUGCCUGAAGACGCUGCACAGGAACCUGGAGCUGGAGCACAAGGAGCUGGGGGAGAGGCACGGAGACUUACAGCAGCGUAAGGCAGAGCUGGAGGAGCUGGAGAAAGUACUGAGCACCGAGCGGGAGGCACUUGAGCGGGAGCAGAAGACCAACGCCAUUGCCACGAGCGAGAACCAGAGGCUUCGAGGAGAGCUGGACAGGAUCAGCUUCCUGCACCAGCAGCUGAAAGGGGAGUAUGAAGAGCUGCACGCCCACACCAAGGAGUUGAAAACCUCGCUCAACAACUCUCAGCUGGAGCUGAGCCGCUGGCAGGUGCGCUUCGACGAGCUUAAGGAGCAGCACCAGAGCAUGGACAUCUCUCUGACCAAGAUGGACAACCACUGUGAGCUGCUCUCCCGGCUCAAGGGGAACUUAGAGGAGGAGAAUCAUCACCUGCUGAGCCAGAUCCAGCUGCUGAGUCAGCAGAACCAGAUGCUCCUGGAACAGAACAUGGAGAGCAAGGAGCAGUACCACGAGGAGCAGAAGCAGUACAUAGACAAGUUAAACGCCUUACGGAGACACAAGGAGAAGCUGGAAGAAAAAAUCAUGGAUCAGUACAAGUUCUAUGACCCUGCUCCAAAGAAGAAGAACCACUGGAUUGGAGCCAAAGCCCUAGUCAAACUUAUCAAGCCAAAGAAAGAAGGUUCCAGAGAACGGUUAAAAUCCACCACAGAUAGCCCCCCCUGGCAGCUGGAGCCCUCAGACCCUGCCUCGCCAUCUCCCUCUCAGGCUCUCAGAUCGCAGACGGAGAACCCCGACAACCCCCCAUCGGGUCCAAACUGUGUGGAAGAACGAGACACCCACAACGGGCCUGUGGGGAAAGCAUUCCAGCGCAAAAAGAGUCCUUUUUUGAGAAGCAAAAGCAAGGACAAAGACAAGUCUCCAUUGGUCCAUCCAGCUCUCUCUAAACGCCUGCGGUUCUGGUCUUCCUCUGACAUCCCAUCCUCCCCUAACGAGUCUGCCUCUUUCUCAGACAUUGGGGAUUUCUGAUCCCCUCCUUUACCAUGUGUCUACAUCAUGUGUCCCUCCUUCAUUUCAAAAUUCAACCAACAACCAAAAGAAGUUAGUCCCUAAAGGCCACUCGGUCCCUAGCGGACCCCUGUCCCUCCCCCAGUUCCAAAGUAGCCACCGUGGAUUCUGAUUGCAAACUAGAAGAUGACCUGUCAUGUUUCCUGGACUGGUGCUUCGGCACAGCACAGUAGUAGGGGACCCCCGGGAUGUACGUGCAGUAACUUGUCCUUGGGCCAGGAGAUUCAUGCUAAGCCCAGGGGAUCUAAAACCAAAACGAGGGUCCCCGCGUGGAGGCAGUGUUGACCGCACAGACACCUCCACUGACCCAGCUGUGAAGUCCUGGCCCUCGGAGCCUGGCUCCCGGACCUUUUCAACCUCAGCCACCACAGCAGCCCUUUCCAGCUCCACUCCUAUCCCCAAGCACCUAGGCCGCACCAAAGGUUGUAAUUCAGAUGACAAUCUCUGUGAGCCAUCCUCGGAGCCCGACGGCCCCUACCACAGGCAGCAGGCAUCGCGGCCAAACAGCUUGGAGAGCAGUAGGAACGCAUCCAGCAACAGCUCGCCUUUGAGCCUAAAGGGCUCCUCUGACCAUCUGCACAGCCGGUGUGAGAGCUUCAGCAGCGCAGACCUGAUCCCCAGCAGGGACCCUGCCACGCUGUCUCGGGAUGGCAACACCUCGGGACGUGGUCUUCUCGGCCGCCAUGAGUACCCUCCACCCCGGAAUGGGCCUGUCUCCCAGGAGACUAUCCAGAAGAAGGGCGCAGCUUCAACCCACACGGGAGUGCGACCCCACUCAGCCUCUCCCAGCAGUGAGAUGGUCACCUUGGAGGAAUUUUUAGAGGAGAGUAACCGAGGAGGCUCUCCUACCCAUGAUACUCCCAGCUGCCGUGAUGACCUGCUUAGUGACUACUUCCGAAAGGCCCAUGAUCCCCCAGCCCUGGGAGGCCAGCCAGGACCACCAGCUAGGAAAGAUGGAGCCAAGAUGCCCACCAGCUUCGUGGCUCCCACCAUCAAGAUGUCAAUCAACACCUCUGAGGGGCAGCAGCUGAAGCCAGGGCAUUAUGUAAAGCCCAACCUGAGACCAUCUGAGGCCGAGGCCCUGGCUGGGAUGCCUUCAAGACAGGUCCAGCCUCCCCAGAGCCUGUCUCUGGGUAGACCCAGGCAAACCACGAUGACCCAGAAUUGUCACAUGCCUGUCAGCCGAAGUGCGUCUCUGAGCAGAGCCUUCAGCCUGGCUUCAGCUGACCUCCUCCGGGCCAGUGGGCCAGAAGCCUGUCGGCCAGAGUCUCCUCAGAAGCCAGGGGGUCAUGAGGCUGCAGGAGCCAGAGAGACAAGCACCCACAGCCUGCAAGGCUCCCACAUCCUAGCCCGGGAGAGAACGCCAAUCGUAGGAAAAGCUGACAGUCCCUCUCCAGGCCAGGGUACCCGAGGCCGGCCACUGGACACAAGACGCUUCUCUCUGGCCCCCCCAAAGGAAGAGAGGCUGGCCCCCCUACAGCAGUCUGCCACAGCCCCAGCCCUUGCUACUGGAUGUAGCAGUGGUAGCAACCCCCAGAUCCAGCACUUUUCUCCUACAGUGGCUCCUGCAGUCAGGACAAAAUCCAAAGUGCCACAACACUCAGGGGAGGUAGCCACCGUAGCUCCUGUGCGUCCAGGGCUCGGCACCUCAGAGGGAGAUGGGGGCCCAGGGCAUGGUUACAGCGAAGGGCUUCUGACCAAAAGCCCUGGCAGGUCUUCUGACUUGCCUCCCCAUGUCAAAAGGGGCCCCGAUGACUUCAGUCAAGGGAGCAGUUCAAAGAGCACACCGGCGUCCCCAGAGCCAGGUGGGGACCCGCAGACAGUGUGGUAUGAGUACGGCUGCGUGUGACUCGCAUCGUGGAUCUGCAGCUUGCAAAUGCUAAACUACUGGUGCGCCUUCUGAUUACAAUGGCCUUUCCCCCUGUUUGCCUGUGGUGGUGGUGGGGGGAAGGGUGAAAAAUGAGGAGUGGAGUUCCCACGGUCAUCCUGUUGGCUGAAGGGAAACACUGUGCCAAGCCCUAAGAGGAUUACCCUCCAGGGUCUGUAACUUAUUUUCUGUAGCUGCGGCUUCCAGCAGCUGGCAUCUUAUGGACAAGGCCGUUUAGCAUGGGAGCCAGUUAGGAGUCAGUGGCAAAGCGACUUUACCCAGAAACAGACACUACUUGAGUAGGAAUGCUCGUUUGCAACCUGUCAACCUCCACUAAAUAGCAUGUGCACGUGUGAGUACAUGCACGGACGCCAGGUUCACAAAGCUACGUCCUGAUGGGUCUCGAAACUCCACUCCUGCCUAAAAGCCAUUGGUCCUGGGAAAGGCUUAGACUGGGCAAACCACAAAGAUUUGCAGGGUUUUGGGGAAAGCCCAGAGCAGGGCUGGCUGCUAAACCCAGGACCCUUGCCAUCCUAUUUCUGAGGUCCAAGCACUUCCCUUUAAAACAGGACCAAGUUUCAGGAUCAGCCACGGGUCUUAGCUCUCGUAGCUGGCUGUUGGGCCCUGCCUAGUGGGCUUUAAGACUACCUAGGAACCAGCCUUUUGGGACUUCCCAGGCUUGCUUUACUACAAACACUGGAUCUGCCAGGCCUAGGGUGUGAGGCAAAGAGAUGCCCUACGAGUAUCCCAGUCUGGCAGGCAUAGUUACUACACAGAAGGAAGGCCAAAGCCACACUUGCUUUGUAAUGUGGCUGUUGCACCCAGCCCUUCUUGGCUCAAACAAUUUUUUUUAUUUCUGAAUAACUUUUUGGGGGUAGAAACCAAAUUUCUAUAUACACAUACAUACACACACAUGAAUAUGUGUGUGUGUGUAUACAUAUAUAUGUAUAUGUACACACACACACACACACACACUUACUUUUGAGGGCCUAUUUAUGUUCUGAAAGUCAUUCUUUCAGUAGUCUGACCUGCUGUUUGUUCGUUUGUCUGGUCUACUUCCUGACAUGUUUUGUUUCCUAUUGUAAUGGUGCUUUUCCUGGGAUGGACUAAACGAUUUAUUUUCUGUUUUGAUGUAAUGUGCUGAAGAAGAAACGGGGGAGACCUUGAAUGUUAACAGGAUCCAUGGUGAGGGUGUUGGGGUUGUGUGUUAAAUAGCCAUUCGUUCUGGAAGACCAGGACAGGGCUGUAAUAAAGUGGAAAGGAAUGUGACUGA